UACGAAGGGGGGCUAGCGUUGUUCGGAAUUACUGGGCGUAAAGCGCACGUAGGCGGAUACUUAAGUCAGGGGUGAAAUCCCCGGGGCUCAACCCCGGAACUGCCUUUGAUACUGGGUAUCUCGAGUCCGGAAGAGGUGAGUGGAAUUCCGAGUGUAGAGGUGAAAUUCGUAGAUAUUCGCAAGAACACCAGUGGCGAAGGCGGCUCACUGGCCCGGUACUGACGCUGAGGUGCGAAAGCGUGGGGAGCAAACAGG
rnacentral:rRNA from 1 species